UUGGAAUUUUCUUGGCAGAGAUCCUAGAGUGGUUUGCCAUUUCCUUCUCCAGUGUGUUUUACAGAUGAAGAAACUGAAACAAGGAGGAUAAAGUGACUUGCCUAUUGUCACACAGCUAUGGCCUUAUCUCUGAUGUCACCAGCGGCUCCAGCUCAGCUCGCCCCACGCUCUUGCUCCUCUGUACAAAGUCUGUCUGAGGCUUCGACCCCACCCAGAUGCCACUGUCUCCCGCCUCCAUCCCAUCCCUUCACCCCAUGCCGGAGGCAGGCUCCUCACCUAGACGGGCUGCAUUCCUGGGCUCCCCAGGCUCUCUGCCCAGAGGGGCUGAAAUCCUAAAGGAGAACAGACAACAAAAGCCCCUCAGACGAGCCUGCUGACAGUAUUGGAUCUCCCCCCAAAAGGAGAGAAAUUGGCAGACAGAGGAGAGGAGGGGGAGGAGGCUGAGCUCUGAAAAGUGGUCCUGCCCCGGGAGCCGGAAGACCUGGGCUAGCUAGCGGGAAACGUCGAUAAAGGAAAGUGACUUCUGGGGAUGCUUUCUUGGCCACAGAUUACUCAACUAUAAAAAGAGAAGAGUCGCACUGCAUGACCUCUUAUGGUUCAUUCCAGCUCUGACGUGCCCAAGAAGACAGAGUGCUGGGAGGUGGCCAGUGGAGGAUAGGAGAGACAGAGAGCUGGAGGAGAGGAGAAGACAAGGGGAGCCAAAAGAAGAAAGAGGAGAGACUGAGGAAAGGGAGGCAGGAGUCUAUGGGGAAAAUCCUCCAAAAGACGCCCUCAUUGGAACCCUCUUGCCUAGUUUUCUGGCCCUUCUUCUCCUCACCUAUCAAAACAUAGAUAUAGGAACAGACUGUUUUUUGUCAUGUCUGAUUUUGUGACCCUAUUUAGAGUUUUCUUGGUAAAGAUACUGGAGUGGUUUUCCAUUUCCUUUUCCAGCUAAUUGUACAGAUGGGGAAACUGAAGCAAAUGCGGUGAAGUGACUUGCUCAGGGUCAUACAGCUAGUAAGGGUCCAAGGUCAUAUUUGAACUCUGGUCUUCCUGACUCCAGACUUAGCACUCUAUACACUCAUUUAGGUAGCAAUGCCUGAUGGGGAUUAAAGAGUUUCUCAUAGAACUGUUAGAGUCUAAAGGAACUUUAGAGAUCAUCCAGACAUCUUAGACCUGAAAGGGACAUCAGAGAGCAAUGAGUCCAAUUCUCUGAGUUUAUAGAAGAGGAACUGAGGGGCAGAGAGGUCAAGUAAUCUACCCAGGACCAACCAGCUAGUACGUAUCUAAAAUAGGUUUCAAUCCCAUUUGCCAAGUUGCCUCUUAAUCCAAAUGCCCCAUUUUCCUGAAGAGGAAA
rnacentral:lncRNA from 1 species